rnacentral:rRNA from 1 species
UACGUAGGGGCAAGCGUUGUCCGGAAUCAUUGGGCGUAAAGAGCGCGUAGGCGGUCCGGUAAGUCCGCUGUGAAAGUCGGGGCUCAACCCUCGAAUGCCGGUGGAUACUGCCGGGCUAGAGUCCGGAAGAGGCGAGUGGAAUUCCUGGUGUAGCGGUGAAAUGCGCAGAUAUCAGGAGGAACACCGGUGGCGAAGGCGGGUCUCUGGGCCGUAACUGACGCUGAGGAGCGAAAGCAUGGGGAGCGAACAGG